rnacentral:rRNA from 1 species
UACAGAGGGUGCGAGCGUUAAUCGGAAUUACUGGGCGUAAAGCGCGCGUAGGCGGCUUUGCAAGUCGGGUGUGAAAUCCCCAGGCUUAACCUGGGAACUGCAUUCGAGACUGCAUUGCUAGAGUAUGGGAGAGGGAAGUGGAAUUUCCGGUGUAGCGGUGAAAUGCGUAGAUAUCGGAAGGAACAUCAGUGGCGAAAGCGACUUCCUGGACCAGUACCGACGUUCAGGCACGAAAGCGUGGGGAGCAAACAGGA